GUCGCAUUCACUGCACCCGAAGAGAAAAAAGAAGCAGUUGUUGAUCUCUGGGAGAGGGGUCCUGACCCGAGAGUUUGGUCAGUAAUCUGCUGGCGCUUGUGCUGAAAAGCCAAAGCUCAUCUGACUUCAAGAGGGUGAAGUCCCCUCUGUGACUCAGAAGCAUACGGUUUAGGAAAGAAAACAGACUCCCAAGGAUGCCAGGAUACUAAAUAAAAAGAUGCUUGCUGAUUGGACCUCUUGACUAGAUCUGCCCAUAAGCAGCCAAUCAUUCAGUUAUGGGAGGACGGUGUAACUGCUUAGGUGUCAUCGGGGCCGUCACCACUGAGAAGACCUUCGUGAAGACCCUGGGUGCUGUGCCUAAUCUGAACGGAAGAACUCUGAACUGAGAGUGUUCUUGUCCUACUGGGAACCUGAAGGAACCUUCUGUGGGACUGAAACAUUUCCACAUGACACUAGAAUGUAUGGAGAGAAAAACCCUUUCCUGCUGAUGCUGAGGAGGUACCUGCUAUGGCGCCUUGCCAGAGGAAAGGAACCACUUCUCCUGGAUGGAAAAUUUCCUCGUGAGAGUGGUCCCUGAAGAGUGGCUAGGAAGACGGUUUGCCGGGGAGAGGAACUCAAUAGUGAAGCUGAAGUGGACAAUCUCUGGUACCCUCUAGUUGUGUGCAAAGAGGGCAAGAUGGCCACCCAGUGUUUGGGGUGCAGUAUGUAAUAGCAUUAAUAAAGGUACGUGGUUUCCAAGUAGCUCAUCAAAAGAAACCCCUAGAUAGUGGGCAGGGUUGGGCAGUGGUUGAGGAAGCUGUAUAACUAGGUUUCUGCACACCUCUGUUUUACAUGGUGGCUCAUAAGGGUAUCGGUGAUAAACACCUGGAGAGGGAGCCUAGGUUUUUCAGUUUGUUUUUGGUGUUUCCUCUAUGAUGCCGGGGUGUAAAUGAUCAUGGAGCAGGAGGUUAUCUUGAGUUCUUGAGAGAAUUAAAUAACUGAUCCAUCCUCUCACUGAGGAGUUUGGACUCAAAGGAUAAGACAUCAUUGGUAUUUUUGGACCUCCCUAUGGAACCCAAAGAGUGAAGCCAUGAUUCACAUCUCAUGACAACAGCUGUGGCAAUGGCUCUAGAUGCAGUAUGACCUCCAUCCACUGAUGCCUGUAAUGCUGUUUUGGCCACCAGCUUGCCUUCCAAUUGAUGACGGCUUGGAAUUGGGCCCUAUCCUUUUGCAGAAGUUUGUAUUUGAAUUACACAAAUCUAGCAUAAUUUGUGAAACUGUGUUUCACUAACAGGGUCUGGUAGUUUGAAAUUUUAAACUGGAGGUUGGUAGAUGAGAAAACCUUCCACCACAGGAGAUAAGGAUAAUAAAUGACUAUUAGAUGGAGUCGACCUGGGGUGCUGUAAUCUGGAUUGCUCAGUGGCUGCAUGUACCACCAAGGAAUGUGUUGCUGGAUGGGUAAACAGGAAUUCUAGCCUCUUUUCUGGGACAAAGUAAUGCUUUUGUACUCUUUUUAAGGAAGGGACACAGGGGGCAGGUUUGUGCCAUAUUGUCCUAGUGAGUUCACUAGGAGAGCCACCAGGCUAGGGCCAGAGGGUUAUGGACAUCCAGGAGUCUAUGUUGUGUGUCGUUGACCUCUUCAAGAGGCAUCUGGAGCUUGGUCAUGAUUCUCUGUAACAAUUACUGAUAUUGCUUGUCUUAAGUCCUUAGAACCCACUUGUGAGGACUCGCACAACUUUUCAUUUAGAGGCAGAUCUGGCAAGAUUAGGCUGUGCCUACAAUGAGGAGACUAUACCUGCAUAGCUAUGUUGGCAUAACCCAGUAAUGUAGACAUUGCCUGCACUGAUAGAAGGAUUCCCCCCACACACACCCCAUCAGUGUAGUAAGAACACCUCCUGGAAGGAAGCUAGCUAUGUCAAUGGAAGCAUUCUUCUGUCGACAUAGCUACGUCCACACCAGGGGAUAGGUCAGCAUAGCUGCAUCAGUCAAGGGUGUGGGAUUUUUGGACCCCUGACCAAAGAACCUAUGUCGACCUAACUUUUCAUUGUAGGCCAAGCCCAAUAUAUAAUCUGGACAGGAGGACCUACAGAAAGGUCUGAGUCAAAGAUGACACCCAGGUUAUGGGCCUAAAUUUUAUCUGUAUAAUUUGGUUCUCGGCAGACAAAAGAGAGAAAAAAAUAAUUCUCAAACUUUUGUUCAAAUUUUCCUGCCAGUUACAAAUGUUCAGCUCAGAGCAGGAAAAGCUAAGAGCUGCAUUAUUCAGCUCUCUGCAUUUUUAGAUGUAUUAUUUAACUUCUCGGCUACAAAUGUGGGAACAUAAUCCAUCAGAAAAGCUGAAAAACAAAGGGAGCUGAAAUUUCCAAAUUGCUAAAAUUGGUUAUUUUUAGUGCUUACUUUAGGGGGAAAAAAACUGUGAAGAUAGCUUCAGCUUCAUUUUAGCAGGGUAAAACUAAAACCAUACACUUGAGAGGAGGCAGGUCCCAUUCGACUCCAAGUAUGAAGUCCUCUGGAACAGGGGUCUCAAGGAGAUCUCUUUCAGAUGCUUGUAGUAGUAUGCUUUUUAUCCCCACAAUAGAUCAGCAAUCACACACCUAUUUAUACUAAAUUGCUAGAUCAAAGGACUAGGAAUCAGGAGUGACUAUGGGAAAGUAAUUUCACUGCCCCAUGCCUCAGUUUCCCCCUCAAUAAAAUGGGGAUAAUGACAGUGACGUAUGUGAGGCUUUUACACUCAAAUCACAACCUCAAGUCCCCAUAUGUUGAAAUAUCAUAAAGAAACAUAAAAUGUCCCAUCAGCAUUCUCCUCACUCACCUGGUUUUGUUUCCCAAUUAAAUCCCUGCCUGCAUUUGGUGUUGUCUCUGUUCAUUGUUUUAUCUGUUUAUUAUAGACUGUAAGAUCAUCAGGGAAGGGAUAUUGUUUUAUUUUAUACCUGUAUA